GACGAACGCUGGCGGCGUGCCUAACACAUGCAAGUCGAACGGAAAGGCCCUGAGUUUGUGGGGUGCUCGAUUGCCGAACGGGUGAGUGACACGUGUGUAACCUGCCCUUGACUUUGGGGUAACUUCAGGAAACUGGGGCUAAUACCGGAUAGGAGCUCCUGCUGCAUGGUGGGCGUUGGAAAGUUUCGGCGGUAGGGGAUGGACUGGCGGCUUAUCAGCUUGUUAGUGGGGUAGGUGCUGACCAAGUCUUUGAAGGGUAGCCGGCCUGAGAGGGUGGACGGCGACAAUACGCCUACGGGACGCAGCAGUCGGGUAUGGGAGGCAGCAGGGGGAAGUCUGGCACAGUGAGCGCGCGCGAGAGACGACAGCGCCGGGUGCGUAAAGACCGCUUUUGGGGUAAGAACCGCUGUCGCCUGUGACGAAGCGUGAGUGACGGUAAUGAAUAAAGAAGCACCGGCUAACUACGUG
rnacentral:rRNA from 1 species